UACGUAGGGACCAAGCGUUGUUCGGAUUUACUGGGCGUAAAGGGCGCGUAGGCGGCAAUUCAAGUCAUCUGUGAAAUCUCCGGGCUUAACUCGGAACGGUCAGAUGAUACUGCUUUGCUAGAGUGCGGAAGGGGCAAUCGGAAUUCUUGGUGUAGCGGUGAAAUGCGUAGAUAUCAAGAGGAACACCUGAGGUGAAGGCGGGUUGCUGGGCCGACACUGACGCUGAUGCGCGAAAGCCAGGGGAGCAAACGGG
rnacentral:rRNA from 1 species